UACGGGGGGGGCAAGCGUUGUUCGGAAUUACUGGGCGUAAAGGGCUCGUAGGUGGCCAACUAAGUCAGACGUGAAAUCCCUCAGCUUAACUGGGGAACUGCGUCUGAUACUGGAUGGCUUGAGUUUGGGAGAGGGAUGCGGAAUUCCAGGUGUAGCGGUGAAAUGCGUAGAUAUCUGGAGGAACACCGGUGGCGAAGGCGGCAUCCUGGACCAAUAUGACACUGAGGAGCGAAAGCCAGGGGAGCAAACGGG
rnacentral:rRNA from 1 species